AAACUAUUUUUUUUGUUUUGAAAACAAAUAUUAAGAUUUUUUCUUGUAGUUU
rnacentral:tRNA from 1 species